rnacentral:rRNA from 1 species
ACGCUCGACACCUACGGGGGCAGCAGUGAGGGAUAUUGGUCAAUGGGGGAAACCCUGAACCAGCAACGCCGCGUGAGGGAUGACGGUCUUCGGAUUGUAAACCUCUGUCCUCUGUGAAGAUAAUGACGGUAGCAGAGGAGGAAGCUCCGGCUAACUACGUGUCCAGCACGCCGGACGGUUAAUUCUGGAGGCGGGCGUGGACGAAGGC